rnacentral:rRNA from 1 species
AGGGUUCGAUUCUGGCUCAGGAUGAACGCUGGCGGCGUGCUUAACACAUGCAAGUCGAACGGAGUGCUCAUGACAGAGGAUUCGUCCAAUGGAUUGAGUUACUUAGUGGCGGACGGGUGAGUAACGCGUGAGUAACCUGCCUUGGAGUGGGGAAUAACACAGUGAAAAUUGUGCUAAUACCGCAUAAUGCAGUUGUGCCGCAUGGUACUGACUGCCAAAGAUUUAUCGCUCUGAGAUGGACUCGCGUCUGAUUAGCUAGUUGGCGGGGUAACGGCCCACCAAGGCGACGAUCAGUAACCGGACUGAGAGGUUGGCCGGCCACAUUGGGACUGAGACACGGCCCAG